UAAAACAAUUUACCAAAAUGUGCGUGCUGAAUAUGAUUACUUGUAUUUUCAUAAUUGAGUAGUUGAAAAAGCGAAGCCUAUCCCAUUAAUCGGCACCUUAGCCAAGGUUGCCUACUUUCUUUAAAUGGUAAUGCAAAUAUCAGCUGUAGCAAAUUAGGUAUUAGCACAAUGUUAAAUAUGGUGAAGGAAAUUGGAGAAAAUGCGCGCAUUUUCAGAUUAAGUAGGUUAGAACUAUGCACCAUUAUGCCAUUAUUAAUGACUUCCUAGACGCCAAUGGAACUACGUCUGAUUAUUCAUUAGGCCACACGCUGCAAGGUCGACAAUUUUCACACCAAUUUUUCAAGAAACGGACACGAGAGUUGCACGGAAUUGAGAUUUAUUUAGUAUAUUCAAUCGUCGUCUCUUUUUUUUUAAUUUCCUGUGCCCUAGAUAUUCAUACACGCAACAUGCUCCACGUGAAGUCUUUGAACAUAUUAAACAGCUGCGGGCUGAAUUGCAUAACUAAGAGGUGCUCGUUGUUAUGCUUGACACACCACGGCGAAAGUUGUCGGGGAGGUCAAUGUCAGAUGUAGUACUUAAGUUUUGGACACAACCGGGCGCAAAUUAGCUUAAACAUUAAAAUGAUUAAUUAACUGGCGAAUAUUUGUUACUUCUGUCACCCUUUCCACUUCGCUGUCAUCUGUCCACCGAAGUUGACCACUGAAAUUGGUUUUCAAGUUGGCUACGAAAUUAAUGUGUUAUGCGACUAUAAACCGCAGAUUAAAUUUAGACAGAUGAAUACUGGUAUCUGGCUUAAGUUAUGCGAAAGUUCCCUCUUAAUUGAAUUUGCUUAUAACUGGAAUGCUCUUGAUGUAGGAAACGAAACCUUACCCGGGAUUGUAGACACAUACGCGAAUUACAUUUACUAAAAGCGGUGGAAGUCAACAAAAUACAAUUGUUUACUUUAUAAGCCUUAUAAAUGGCACAAGUUAAAGCGAUUCGUACAAUAUUAAAGUUUACGACUUUUUGUACUACGGCGGCGUCUUUAACUUUUGUAAACUUCUAUCUUCAAAUUAAAUGAGCGCUAUUAAUAAUGCAUCUCAUUUAGUUGUUCACUCACGGUCUUUCCUACAAUUUAUUCCCUACCACUGACAUUAAACUUUCGUUAAAACUUGAAACUACCUACGAUAAAUCAUUACGAUUUUACUUUUUCAACUAAACUCUGUACAUAUUAUAAAAAGAGGAUAGCUGAGCUAAAUAGAAAUAGAAAGUUUUAGGGCAAAUGGUGGAUGAUGGAGAUGAAGAAACGUAUCAAGGCACGGAGUAUGAAGCUAUUAGAAAUGAGACAGCAAAUAACGGUGACUUGUUACUAACGCUGAGGAAAUCAUCGGAUCUAUGGUACCAGUCGUAUUGCAAAAGGAUUUUUUGAGUUCAAGGAUUGGCUAGGAUAUUGGGCUAAAUUUGAGAAAUUUGACCAGGGUGGUUCUUUACAUGGCAGUGAUAAGUUCCAGUAUUUACUUCAGUCAUUUUUACGUAGAACCGGUGAACAUGAGAUAGCAAACAGCAACCCCCAGUCAAAUGAAAACAUCCCGCUGGACCUAUCCCCCUCCCAGGAGGAGAUAUGGUUUUGAAAAGUUGAAUCAUCAAUGGAAUUACAUGAAGAAAUUGAGGCAAACGUUUUCCAAAGGAACCAUCUCUGCUUCUGGAGAAACGUGGUGAAGUGCUUCAAAACCGGGAUUAAGCUUUGAAUUUGGACAUUCCUCAACUAUAUGUUGGAUGGUUUCUUUAGGAUCUGCGUCUGGAUUGUGUUCUGGAUUCCAUUUGUGAGUAUGUAAUUGCAUCUUCCAUGUCCUGUUCUUAUACGAUUUAAUUUGACCCACAUUUUUCUUGGAAGAUCAAUCCCUGCAACUUCAUUGCACGGUUAUUUGAUUAAAUUUCGAUUAAAAAUUGUGUUAUUAUGCUGUAUCCAAAAAAUUUUCCAACGUUCUUUAAUGGAAUAUACAUUUGAAUGUUUGUAGUCUUCUUUCCAUAACGGGUUUCGUAAUUUUAAUCGAUAAAAAGGUAGGUAAAUUAUUCAGAUCUAAAUUUAUGGGGAAAUCAGCGUUAUUUUUAUAUUUGUCCCACAAUUUUUUUAGAAACAAUUCUCGUCUGAUAUUGGGUGGAGCAAUGUUGGAGAGAACAUGUAACCAAGGUAUAGGAGUAUAUUUAAAUGUGCCGGUAAUUAUUCUCAUUACAAUCUGGAUGACCUGCUAUUAUAAUGUUAUCGUGUUCUCUAAUUUAUGCGCCAAUGAAGCUAACUUAAUUACUUUUCUAGGUACUAAUUAGUUGAACAUCAAAUGCUGUCAGCACUAAUGUACAAUUUAGGUAUUUAGGUACUUUGUAGGUGAGCUAUUUUUGUUGUUGCCUUAAUCGUGUAGGUAAUUUCUACAGAAACAAGUAUCAAUGAAACUUUAAUAAAAAUGAUGGAGUACACUAAUAUUCAUUCACGUCACUCUUACCCUCUCCAUAAAGUUCUGGUGUCUUACAAAUCAAUUUUGGAAGUACGGUGAUCCAUAUUAUGUUAAAUGCGAUUUUUUCCCGAAAGCUCAAUAAUUGUAAAGUUUUUGAGUGUGUUGAGAUUAUGGUAUUGAAAAGCCGUACCAUCUUGAAGACAUUUGGUUACUCCUUCUCCUGCACUUUCGUGGAUAUAGCGAUUUCAAAUCUGCGUUUAAAACAUGGUGGAUUUAAUUACUACCCGUGAUGUUAAAAGGGAACAGUGCUUAGAUAAUUAAGAGGUUCGAGCAUAAUAAAGAACUCCACCAAGUUUUACAGUUGCUGAAGAAUAAGUAUCUAAAAGUGAAUUAUGUUUGUUC